rnacentral:tRNA from 1 species
GGCCCCGUAGCUCAGCUGGAUAGAGCGGCACCCUCCUAAGGUGAUUGUCGGAGGUUCGAAUCCUCCCGGGGUCGCCA